CACCACGUCCGGCUAAUUUUUUUCUAUUUUUAGUAGAGACGGGGGUUUCACUGUUUUGGCCAGGCUGGUCUCGAGCUCCUGAUCUCGUGAUCCGCCCGCUUCGGCCUUCCAAAGUGCUGGGAUUACAAGCGUGAGCCACCGUGCCCGGCUCAUCCUGCUUUUGGUUUCAGGUCUCCAUGCCAGUGAAAUGUCACCUCAACUCCACCGUCCCUGGUGUCAGGCAAGCCCGAGGGACCCAAUUCUGCCUUUCUUCUGGAUUUUCCUAACCUGUUAAGAGUCUUGAAAGUCCUUAAACCACGGGAGACUACCUGGCACAUGACACGGGAUGAGACUUGGUGGGGGUCCCACGGGGGACAGGUCCUUCCAGCGGUUCCUCUGCACCCAGCGCUGCACGGGCCCGGGGCGCGGGUAAUCAGCCUCCCGAAAGCCACGCGAGUCACGGUCCUGCCUGCGAAGAACUCCCAGGGCGACCUUGGGGCUGAGGAGUGGGCCUGCUUCGGCCUUCUGCUCUUCUGUUGUGUGGUGACCCUCACCAGAGGACAGCUUCAUGCUCUUGGACUUCCCAGCCUCAAGAACUGUAAGAAAUAAAUUUCUUUAUAAGUUGCCCAGUCUGUGGUAUUUGGUUAUAGCA
rnacentral:sRNA from 1 species